CAGAGCUUGGUGUUGGAGCUGGUAGGACAACAUCAUCUAAUACAGGUAGUGGUGGUGGACAUGGUGGACAAGGUGGUGGACCAUCUCCUAACUUUGGUGGGGCUGCUUAUGAUUCUAUAUAUACACCAACCCAACUGGGUAGUGGAGGUGGUAAUGCAGGCACAGUAAAGGGUGGACCAGGUGGCGGAUAUUUACAUUGGAAAGUUGGGAAGUUGUUAGAAUUGAACGGAAUACUUCGAGCAAGUGGUGGCAAUGCAUUGGGUCCUAAUGCUGGUGGUGGUUCUGGUGGAUCCAUAUUGAUUGAAACAACCAAUAUAACUGGACAUGGUGAGAUCAACGUCCGAGGUGGUCUUGGUGGUUCCGGUAGUGGUUAUGGUGGUGCUGGUGGAAGGAUUGCAGUGAAAUGUAGAUGGA